CAGGAUUUUGGCGAAUAUUUUGAGGUCAGUGUUAAUAAGUGAGAUUGGCCUGUAGCUCGAGGCCAGUGUGUCGUCUUUCCCUGGUUUUGGUAGGAGGACAACAUUUGCUGUCGCCAUGUCGCCAUCAGGUGUCCCACCCUGCAGAAAAUGGUUGCUAAGGGUCGUCAGCUGGGGGGGCUAAUACGUCUUUGAAUUGUUUGUAAUAGCUAAUGUCAUAUCCGUCCGGACCUGGUGCCCUAUUGCCUUUCAGGGAAGCUAUGGCUGCCUCCACCUCGAGUUGUGUGAUUGGUUCUUGUAGUGCUUCCGCUUCCGCCCCGUUCACCUUUGGGAUAGUGAGUUCAGAGAGAAAUUGGCGUAUGUCUGCAAUGUAGGCCGCAUUGGUGGCCCGGAGGCGGGGGGAAUGGUUGUAUAGUUCUGAGAAGUAGGAGGUGAACACUGCAUUAAUCUCGUCUGGCGUUUCGGCUAGUGUGUUAUCUGUUGUGCGUAUUUUUGUUGAAAAGAUCUAUUUUAAAAUAGUUUUUUCCUCACGGCUGUUCGGGCCAAGAUAUUGACUGACAAGUGACAGCCGAAAAAACCUCCCACAAGAGGUCACUCUGCUCUCCACCCAUAGCAGCCACCACACAGGGGCUGCUAUGGAAACUUCCUAGUAAGUGCUUCGGGGAACUGGAUGUUACACUAAGAAUAAUACCAACGAAGUGGCGCUGGAACGGAG